rnacentral:rRNA from 1 species
UAGUGGCGAACGGGUGAGUAACACGUGAGUAACCUGCCCUUGACUCUGGGAUAAGCCUGGGAAACUGGGUCUAAUACUGGAUAUGCACCGUGAACCGCAUGGUUUUUGGUGGAAAGAUUUAUUGGUCAAGGAUGGACUCGCGGCCUAUCAGCUUGUUGGUGAGGUAAUGGCUCACCAAGGCGACGACGGGUAGCCGGCCUGAGAGGGUGACCGGCCACACUGGGACUGAGACACGGCCCAGACUCCUACGGGAGGCAGCAGUGGGGAAUAUUGCACAAUGGGCGAAAGCCUGAUGCAGCGACGCCGCGUGAGGGAUGACGGCCUUCGGGUUGUAAACCUCUUUCAGUAGGGAAGAAGCGAAAGUGACGGUACCUGCAGAAGAAGCGCCGGCUAACUACGUGCCAGCAGCCGCGGUAAUACGUAGGGCGCAAGCGUUAUCCGGAAUUAUUGGGCGUAAAGAGCUCGUAAGCGGUUUGUCGCGUCUAUCGUGAAAGUCCGAGGCUCAACCUCGGAUCUGCGGUGGGUACGGGCAGACUAGAGUGGAUGUAGGGGAGACUGGAAUUCCUGGUGUAGCGGUGAAA